rnacentral:rRNA from 1 species
UGCCAGCAGCCGCGGUAAUACGUAGGGAGCGAGCGUUAUCCGGAAUUAUUGGGCGUAAAGCGUGCGUAGGCGGUUCGUUAAGUCAAAUCUGAAAGCCCACAGCUUAACUGUGGAGGGUGAUUUGAAACUGGCGAGCUUGAGUACGGCAGAGGUUAGUGGAAUUCAAUGUGUAGCGGUGGAAUGCGUAGAUAUAUUGAGGAACACCAGUGGCGAAGGCGGCUAACUGGACCGGAACUGACGCUGAGAUGCGAAAGCGUGGGGAGCAAACAGGAUUAGAUA